rnacentral:rRNA from 1 species
GACGAACGCUGGCGGCGUGCUUAACACAUGCAAGUCGAACGGAAAGGCCUCUUUCGGGGGGUACUCGAGUGGCGAACGGGUGAGUAACACGUGAGUAACCUGCCCUUGACUUUGGGAUAACUUCAGGAAACUGGGGCUAAUACCGGAUAGGAGCUCCUGCUGCAUGGUGGGGGUUGGAAAGUUUCGGCGGUUGGGGAUGGACUCGCGGCUUAUCAGCUUGUUGGUGGGGUAGUGGCUUACCAAGGCUUUGACGGGUAGCCGGCCUGAGAGGGUGACCGGCCACAUUGGGACUGAGAUACGGCCCAGACUCCUACGGGAGGCAGCAGUGGGGAAUAUUGCACAAGGGGUGGAAGCCAGAUGCAGCAACGCCGUGGGCGGGAUGACGGCCUUCGGGUUGUAAACCGCGUUCGCUCAUGACGAAGCUUUGUGUGACGGUAGUGGGUAAAGAAGCACCGGCUAACUACGUG